AGACCUCGUGAGCCCUCACAGGAUUAAAGCCACGAGGUCCCAGAGAACACUCCGUGACCAGCCGGGCGUUCACCCAAUUUACCACCUCAAGGUGCCUCUGAGCAGCACGAUAAGCACUGAGGAGGGGUAUCCUCCCAUAUCACAGACAGAAACCCAGCUCAGAGUGGUCCAGGCAAAGCUAAGGGGCACACAGACAAAGGGCUCACAGCCAGAGCCCAUGAUGGCUCUGCCCCAAGGAGCCACUCUCAGCCCACCCUGGGAUCAAGACGGAGCUCCAGAGAACACACUGGGCGGCCUGCUGGUCCUUACAAGGCUACAAUCCUAUGAGAUAAGAAAUGUUUACAGACUGGGAAACUAAGGUGUAGUGGAAUUAACUGAUCUGCUCUCGUCACCCAGAAAAGGAUGUUUAGGAGACUGGAGCCCAGGAGCCUUGGGGACCACAGUCUGCACUCUGCCCUCCCAGAAGACACAGACGUGGCCUGUAGCAGCUGGGUGGGAGACCUGGCAUUUCCCCAACAGACCCUGACACCCUUUGGCACAGGCCCGUGGUUCCCAGAGCCCAGUCCCCAGACCUGCAGCAUCAGGUUUUAUUUCCUGCCAGACCUUCCAGACCAGAACGUCAGCUUCACCACCCCCAGACCCUCUGAGUAAGAAUCUGCGUGUUUCCACAUCCCUGGGCGUCUUGGGGUCCAGGAAAGUCUGAGAAGCUCUGCUCCAAGUUCCUGGAGGCCUGCCCCAAAUGCCAGAGAAGGACUGAGCGUGCUGUGGGAGUCUUCCUGGGGUCAAGGUCGCAGCACACGGGGCUGCUAUAAGUGAGAGGGCUUCCUGCAGCCAGAAAGGACGGCAGGUGUGAAGGCUGUUGGCUGAGUGAGGCCCCAGAAGUCACUCUACCUGGACAGAGCACACUGAGAAUCUGGUCCAGACACCUCCUCAGGGCUCCUGUCCACAUGUGGGCAGGUGCCAAGCAGUGCUGUGGAUGCCUGCCAUCACUGCUGGGACACCUGAGGUCACUGUGACCAUGGGGUCUCCUCCUGCCUCCCUGCCCCUGUCCACCCAGAGAAAGUCCAGUUCCAUGGGUCCCUCCACUACACUUCAUAAAGCUCCUACUAUGCUCCAGGCCAGGGUCCCCAAAGGGAGUGAGAAUUGGUCCUGCCCUCGAGGACUUGCAGACCUGCUGGGGACAGAUACACAAAGCAGGAAAUGACAAAGUAAUGCGGAAGCAGAGGGGCGAAGCUGGACUCAGGUGUUGCCAGCGCACGGAGAAGGACCAGCCAGGUGACAGGUCCCGUGUGGACAUCUGGCCAGCCUGGAGUUGGUCACUCCUGCACUGCUGACAUCCUGGCACUGCCUUCCUCAGAACUUGGCCAUUCCAGAAGAAGAGAGCUGUACAUCUGGCUUAGUGUCUGGACCUCAUUACCCCUAACAUGCCUCCCAUUCACUCUGGGAUGAAGCUGGAGUGGGGGGGAUUAAAGAUGGUUCCCAUUUCUUUGACACCCCCCCAACAGACAGGUGGUUGUCUGUGUCCCCUCCCUGGUGAAUCUGGGUGGCUCUGGGUCUCCUUUGACCAAUAAAGUAU